AAAGUUUGACAGACAAUCGCUGGCGGCUUCGGCCGCGAGAGGAAAGUCCGGGCUCCAUAGGGCAGGAUGCUGGAUAACGUCCAGUCGGCGCGAGCCGAAGGAUAGUGCCACAGAAAUGGACCGCCGAUGGCCGGCCGCAAGGCUGGCACAGGCAAGGGUGGAACCGUGGUGUAAGAGACCACGAGCGCCGUUGGCGACAACGGGGCUGGUAAACCCCAUCUGGAGCAAGACCGAGAGAACGCAGCGCGUUUACGCGCGCCCUUGCCCGGGGAGCGUUCGGGUGUGUCGCUUGAGCGUGUCAGCAAUGGCAGGCCUAGAUAGAUGAUUGUCGCUUCAAUGGUGGGAGGGUUGUUCCCGUUCGGACCACCGGAAGAACAGAACCCGGCUUACGGCAAACUUUCCGU
rnacentral:RNase_P_RNA from 1 species